UCACAAGCAGACACUUUUCUAUUGACACCACAUACAACUUAGGAUGAGGAUUUCAUCUUUGACGCUACUCCUAACCCUUGCCUUUCUUGUGCUAGCAUCAAAUGCGAAAACAAAACCAGGUUGUACGGUCGUAUACUUGAAGAAGUUUGGUGGGUACUUGAUUGGUGGUUGUGAGGACGAUUGCCACAAGAAGUAUAAGGCGACCAUUCACUGCUCUGACGAUAUGGCGUGCGCUUGGCAAGCCGAUAUUGAUGGCAGCAGGUGUAAGUGCUCAAUGUGCAUAUUCUCCUCCAAGGCUCCAGCAGAGGAAACUGUGAUGUUAACUAGCUAAAUAGUGAUCAGUGAACAUUCGCUAAAAGAACAGAUAUGCCAUAGUAUGUGGUGUAGCAGCAUGACUAUUUCGCUAGAAAUCGCUAUACAACAUAAAUUCAGUAUUGCACCUUGAGUUUGUAGAAUUUAUCAAGUGAUCCAUAUAUGAGCAGUUGAAAUUACCA